rnacentral:rRNA from 1 species
UAAGGAAUAUUGGACAAUGGAGGCAACUCUGAUCCAGCCAUGCCGCGUGAAGGAAUAAGGCCCUAUGGGUUGUAAACUUCUUUUAGACGGGACAAAACCCCUUUACGUGUAAAGGGUUGAUGGUACUGUCAGAAUAAGCAUCGGCUAACUUCGUGCCAGCAGCCGCGGUAAUACGAAGGAUGCAAGCGUUAUCCGGAAUUAUUGGGUUUAAAGGGUGCGUAGGCGGACUAAUAAGUCAGUGGUGAAAGCCUGCAGCUUAACUGCAGGAUGGCCAUUGAUACUGUUAGUCUUGAGUACAGUUGAGGUAGGCGGAAUGUGUCAUGUAGCGGUGAAAUGCUUAGAUAUGACACAGAACACCGAUUGCGAAGGCAGCUUGCUAGGCUGUAACUGACGCUGAGGCACGAAAGCGUGGGGAGCAAACA